AGGCAAGAAAAUCCCCAAUUCAAAAGAAACGGUCAACCUUUGAAACAUACAAUCCUCUUAUUGAAGAUAACUUAGGAUCUCUUUAGGAACCCAAGAUAACUAAAGUUAGUGGAUUAAUUACUGAAAAGGAAAGGGGUCAAUUGGUUGAAUUAAUUUAAUAAUACAUAGAUUAUUUUGCAUGGAGCUAUCUCAAGAUGUUGG
rnacentral:lncRNA from 1 species